UCACUUAUAGAUGGAUCCGCGCCGUAUUAGCUAGUUGGUAAGGUGACGGCUUACCAAGGCAACGAUACGUAGCCGACCUGAGAGGGUGAUCGGCCACACUGGAACUGAGACACGGUCCAGACUCCUACGGGAGGCAGCAGUAGGGAAUCUUCCGCAAUGGGCGAAAGCCUGACGGAGCAACGCCGCGUGAGUGAUGAAGGUCUUCGGAUCGUAAAACUCUGUUAUCAGGGAAGAACAAAUGUGUAAGUAACUGUGCACAU
rnacentral:rRNA from 1 species